rnacentral:misc_RNA from 1 species
CGUGUUUUCAAUGCCCUAAAGACAAUACAAAACAAGUGAAUCUGGGACCUUAAAAUCCAAUACAAAAGAAUACUCAGGAAAAAGCAUCAUAAUGCAGCUAGUAAUAAAAUCUUUUUGGAGGAGGAGCCUGAAAAGAGAAAAGCCUAAGGAAGCAGAGAGAAAACAAUGAUCCAUCAGGACAUUAAAUACUUGAGACCAGAAGGAAGGAAUAAAUAUUUUAAGUUUUCAAGAAGAAAUUCACCAAAUACAAGAUAAUUAG